rnacentral:rRNA from 1 species
GGUUUCCGUAGGUGAACCUGCGGAAGGAUCAUUACCGAGUGCGGGUCCUUUGGGCCCACCUCCCAUCCGUGUCUAUUAUACCCUGUUGCUUCGGCGGGCCCGCCGCUUGUCGGCCGCCGGGGGGGCGCCUUUGCCCCCCGGGCCCGUGCCCGCCGGAGACCCCAACACGAACACUGUCUGAAAGCGUGCAGUCUGAGUUGAUUGAAUGCAAUCAGUUAAAACUUUCAACAAUGGAUCUCUUGGUUCCGGCAUCGAUGAAGAACGCAGCGAAAUGCGAUAACUAAUGUGAAUUGCAGAAUUCAGUGAAUCAUCGAGUCUUUGAACGCACAUUGCGCCCCCUGGUAUUCCGGGGGGCAUGCCUGUCCGAGCGUCAUUGCUGCCCUCAAGCCCGGCUUGUGUGUGGGGUCGCCGUCCCCCUCUCCGGGGGGACGGGCCCGAAAGGCAGCGGCGGCACCGCGUCCGAUCCUCGAGCGUAUGGGGCUUUGUCACAUGCUCUGUAGGAUUGACCGGCGCCUGCCGACAUUUUCCAACCAUUCUUUCCCGGUUGACCUCGCAUCAAGUAAGGAUACGCGCUGAACUUAAGCAU